rnacentral:lncRNA from 1 species
GAUAGUGGGUUUUUUUUCAUUAAAGGAGCAUUGUAGCUCCGUGUGCUUUGAAAAAAAGCCAGUUUUCCAAAGCUGCAAAUAGCAGCUUCAGCUUUUUCCUUUGAUUUCAGCUUAUUCUCGCAGCAGCUUCCAAAAUAAGCCAUUUUUUUUCAGUUUACCAAACACCUAAAACCCUUACAGCUUUUUUUCAUGGGUAUUUUUUUUUUAAGCACCUCACUCCCAAACCACCCCUAACUCAUUCUACUUUUCCUCCCUCGCUCGCUUGUUUUCCAGUACACCAUUUUCAAAAGAGAAAACAUGACCCAGCCCUGGUUCUUCUUUAGAAGACGUAAAAAUUGAGUAGUCUUUCGUUUGAAAUUUCCAGGUAACUUUUUACGGGACGAUCUCGAGAUUCUUUGCCGUUCGCACAGAGAGGAGAUUUGUCAAAGGAUUCGUGAACUCGACAAUUCUGACCCAGACACAUUGGUUUGGCCAAUCUUGUUUAAAACCAAUGGAGAGGUAAAUUUCAGUCUUUAUUUUACAUAUUAGGGGUUUGAUUUUCAAAUUUUUAAUAUUUCUUAUUCUGGGUGGGUUUUGUUUUCAGGAAACAGUGGAGGGUUCUGUUCAAGGACAACCACUGAAGAUAGAAGCCUGCGAGGAAGUACACCGGAAAGAAGAUGUUUCUGGUAAGUUUUUAUUUCUGUUUGUAAAUCUUGUUUUUUAUUUUAUUUAUAAUUUUCUUUUUAUUUGUAUUUUUUUUUAAUUUAGGGAUCUUGAUAAAAUUUUGUAAAUUCUCUUUCUUUAGUUUAAUUUUUUUGUUUCUGCUCUUUGUAAUCGUUAAUUUUGUAAAUUCUGUUUGUUUUCUUUAAUUGAGGUGGGUAUUCUUGAGAAAAUUGUUGUAAAGAUUUUGAAUUUCUGAUAAAUCAUUGAGAUUCAAUCUUGAUUCCCUGAAUUAGCGGUAUAGAUUUUGAAUUUCUGAAAUAGUUGUAUAGAUUGAUUUCUGAAAUAAUUUCAGUUGGGGUACCCUGAUUCUUACACAAUGUAACCGUAUCCUUUCACUCUUUAGCCACAAACACAUUCUAAGGAUCGAUCACGAUAACAACACAAAUAGCAUUAUUGAAUCUUCCUCAACAAACCAACCAAUUGAAUCUUCAAAUUUACAACACAAUUAGAUCAAUAACUUGAGCUGUAAAUGCAUACAUAAUCCUCUCUUACUUUCUCACUAGCUAAUACUAUAAACAAAAUCCAAAAGCAAAUCCAAUACUCAACAAUUUAUCAUAGAACAACAAUUGAUACGACUAUUUUAGGUAAACACAAUUGAAGAAACAAAAUAAUUUACACCAGAAACCAAGUUACUACUGUUAAAGCAAAUCCAAAGCCCCAACAGAAAUUCACAAUCUAUACCACCAAUUCAAUGAAUCAAGAUUGAAUCUCAACCUUUAAUUGUGAAUUUCUGUUGGGGCUUUGGAAAAUUAAACUAAAGAAAGAGAAUUUACAAAAUUUUAUCAAGAUCCCUAAAUUAAAAAAAAAUACAAAUAAAAAGAAAAUUAUAAAUAAAAUAAAAAACAAGAUUUACAAACAGAAAUAAAAACUUACCAGAAACAUCUUCUUUCCGGUGUACUUCCUCGCAGGCUUCUAUCUUCAGUGGUUGUCCUUGAACAGAACCCUCCACUGUUUCCUGAAAACAAAACCCACCCAGAAUAAGAAAUAUUAAAAAUUUGAAAAUCAAACCCCUAAUAUGUAAAAUAAAGACUGAAAUUUACCUCUCCAUUGGUUUUAAACAAGAUUGGCCAAACCAAUGUGUCUGGGUCAGAAUUGUCGAGUUCACGAAUCCUUUGACAAAUCUCCUCUCUGUGCGAACGGCAAAGAAUCUCGAGAUCGUCCCGUAAAAGUUACCUGGAAAUUUCAAACGAAGACUACUCAAUUUUACGUCUUCUAAAGAAGACCAGGGCUGGGUCAUGUUUUCUCUUUUGAAAAUGGUGUACUGGAAAACAAGCGAGCGAGGGAGGAAAAGUAGAAUGAGUUAGGGGUGGUUUGGGAGUGAGGUGCUUAAAAAAAAAUACCCAUGAAAAAAAGCUGUAAGGGUUUUAGGUGUUUGGUAAACUGAAAAAAAAUGGCUUAUUUUGGAAGCUGCUGCGAGAAUAAGCUGAAAUCAAAGGAAAAAGCUGAAGCUGCUAUUUGCAGCUUUGGAAAACUGGCUUUUUUUCAAAGCACACGGAGCUACAAUGCUCCUUUAAUGAAAAAACCCACUAUCAGACUGCUUUUUUUUUCAAAAGCACUUUUACAAAAAAGUUUACCAAACACUCUGCUGAUUCACAGCACAGCCGCUUAUUCUCACAGCAGCUUUUUUUCAAAGCACAGCAAUACCAAACCAGCCCUUAGAGAGAGAAAUUAGAGAGAGGAGCGCAGAGAGGGAGUAAAAGUAGAGUGAGAGUGAGUUGAGAGAGAUAUUAAUGGCCUGAUUGGCAUCUGACUUGAAAACGAAAUUCAAAAUUUUAAUUUUUCUAAAAACACAUGUUUUGAUUUAAAAAUUUUAAAUUCAAAACCUUGUUUGGUAUGCAAUUUCUCAAAACUAAUACAAACAGAAAAAGUCAAACGCCCAGCCCAAGCAAUUACCUGACCACCGCAUCCCUCACUUCCCUAGCGGCGACUCCUUUGGCUAUACCAACUCCAAACUUGCGCUGACAGAGGCUAAUCAUGUUAGCAGUCUCAAACCUGAGAUCCAACGACCAUAUGGAAGAUGUGGUGGCUAUGGUGGAUGCAAGUGAGAAGAGAUAAGAUUGAAGAGGCGGGAGAGAUCGAAUUGUCUUGGCUGGAGGCAGAAGGAUAGAGGUGGUGGCUAUGGUGGAUAUAAGCGGGAAGGGAUUGGAAAUGCAAUAGAGAAAAGAGGAUUGAAGAGGCAAGAGGGAAGGGAGUACAUCGAAUGAGAGAGAGGAGAGAGAGGGAGAGAGAGAAGGGGAAUGAUAAUCCAUAAAUUAAAAGGUCUAAAAACACACUUUUUGUGUUUUCAACCAAUAGCCCUUGUUUUCAGAUAUUUUUGAGUAGUGGUUUUGAGAAUUGUAUUCAAAUCCACUACCAAACAAAGACUUUAAAUUUGUGACUCAAAACUUGUUUUUGAGUUAAAAACAUUGGAUCCAAAUCAAAUACCGAACAGACCCUAAAGUAUCUAUUUAAAUAUUUUGAAUUUGGGGAUGGGGGGAGAGACGUGCAUUGCACAUGUGUUUCAGAAAUUGAAAUUUUUAAAACAAUUGUCAGAAUUUAGGCUCAAUUAACAUAUUAUACAGUACCAACUUAACUAAUAUAAAGAGUUCCGACCAAAAAUACAGUAACGAAGAAAACAAACUAGCUGUUUUUACGCGAUCUCAAUUUCGCUUCCGUUCUGGGCAGUGGCUAACACCUGCUAAAGUAAAAAAAAUCGAGAAUCACAUCAACGAAUUGACAAAUAGAAGCCCACUAGCCUCAAUUUUGUGUAAAAAUAACAUUACGUAAGGUAUCGUUUGGUAUGCAGACGGGACGGGACGGAACAGAGAGGGAGCAAAGAUGCCCUCGGAUUGAAACAAGGAGGAAGAAGGAGACGGAGAUGUUAUAAUUUUGUGUUCCACAGAUGUGGAACGAAUCGUUCUAGGGGAUGAGGCGGAAUGAAAAUUCACCCAAAACUCAUCCCGUGGAACAGCGCGUUCCACCUGUUUUAGGCGUACCAAACGUGGGACGAAUCGUGCUAGAUACUACUUUCCUUCUGUUGUUAAUAUCGUUCUGCUGGGCUAGCUGAUUGUCAUUUCGGCACAAGCCUCCAAGAACAGUAGUAUACUUUCCUUCUGUUGUUAAUACCGUUUUGCUGGGCUAGUUGAUUGUCUUUUCGGCACAAGUCUGCAAGAACAAUAGUAUACUUUCCUUCUAUUGUUAGUACCGUUCUGCUAGGCUAGCUAAUUGUCUUUUCAGCACGAGUCUACAGAACAGUAGUAUAGUUUUUGUUUCUUCAUACCAUUACUAAAUUAACUUUUGUUAAGAUUCAAUCUUGUUUUCCUGAAUUCGUUGUAUAGAUUGUGAAUUUCUGAUAAAUCGUUGAGGAUUUGGUUUAUAGAAUGUGUUGUGUUGAUUUCUGAUAAAUUGUUUACUUGGUUGUCUUUCUGUUUCUUGAUGCUAUCACUAAAUCAAAUUUUGUUGAAAUUCAAUCUUUCCCUGAAUUGGUUGUAUAGAUUGUGAAUUUCUGAUAAACUGUUGGGGAUUUGCUUUAACAGUAGUAACUUGGUUUUUGCUGUGAAUUAUUUUGUUUCUUCAAUUGUGUUUACCUAAAAUAGUCGUAUCAAUUGUUGUUCUCUAAUAAAUUGUUGACUAUUGGAUUUUGUUUCUAGUAUUAGCUAGUGAGAAAGUAAGAAAGGAUUAUGUAUGCAUUUACAGCUCAAGUUAUUGAUCUAAUUGUGUUGUAAAUUUGAAGAUUCAAUUGGUUGGUUUGUUGAGGAAGAUUCAGUAGUGUUUUUUGUGUUGCUAUCGUGAUCGAUCCUUAAAAUGGGUUUGUGGCUAAAGAGUGAAAUUGAACUUUGAUGGGGAACUUUGUACCCGAACCGAAAAACCCACCCUAUUUUCCCCUUUUUAUGAGAUUACUAGCUAUGACACAAAGACUAAAAUUACACUUUUCUUCUUCAACUUAGUCCUACUUUUGGCACUACGAUCUAGUUGUAAGUAAGAGGUUUUAAGUUUGAAUUUCAUGGAUGGCGACUCCGCAACCAAUUUAUUCUCCCUCUCUCAUUUUGUUUUCUUUUUAAUUUCACCGCCUUUUGUAUUUUGCCAUGAAUUAGUUGUGCGUCUAAAAGUUUUUGCUGCUCUAAUUGUAUUAUCAUUAGCAUUCAAAGUUGCAAUCUUUUAGUUUUGUUUCGAAUUUCUGUGAUGUUUGCCAUACCAUGUAUUCCUGUACGAAGAACAGGUCUGCUACUUAUAGCUUUCUAUUCGAUUCAUAAAUGGUUCAGUAGCUGUACAUAUGUAUGUAUCCUUUAGACAUUAGUUUCUAUAGUACCAGUAGGCUUUUUCAUCGAAAUAGUUUGCGUGGUUCGAAGGGAUUUUGAUUGAAACAACUGAACUCUAGUGCAUUGCUCGAUUUCCCAGGUAACGAAACUAGUACCAUAAGCCCUUUAUAUAGGAAAAGGAUCAUCUUUGAUCCUUUCCACCUAAUCCAGGCCCUUGAAAUUUAAUUCAACGGCUAAAGUUACUACACAUUUUAAAGGAGCCUCCUAUUUGUAGCCGUUUGAUCAAAUUUCAAAGGUCCGGACUGAUUGAUUGGGUGGAUUUGGUGGAGGGAUCCGGAGAGGAUCCCUUUCCUCUUAUAUAGACAUUAUAAAGGUCUUCUUCAAUAAGGAAUACUAAUAAUGAUUGGAAUCUAGUUAUGAAUCCUUCUUCAAUCCAAAAACUAAACUCCAAUUGGGCAAACAACUCCAAUUGAAAAAACAAUUUAAUCAUCUGAGACUAUAUUUUCCAAUAGCCUUGGGACAACUAAUCAUGGACCCGAAAACUAAACAAUUCUUGCUUAGCAAGAUUUUGUGUGAAAUUCUGACUAGCUUUUUUUAUUCUGAAUGCUUUGAACUUUUAAUGUGACUUGUAGAUUCAACACUUUUAAAUUUUUAAUGCUUUCAAGCCACACUCAUGUUCAUAGGACAUGAAUGCUUUUUCAAAUAAGAAGACGUUUAAUAGUCUCCUUUUCCUUCGUUACUUCAUUUGUUUGUGGUAUUUAAGUCAUCAUGAUUAUUUACAUCAUAAUAUUAUGGGUAAAUUACAUAGUAACCCUUCAGGUUUGAAAUGUAUUACAACUUUAUACAACAUCUUUAAAACAUUUCACUUUUAUACCUCAUGUACUAUUUUAUUUCAAAAUAAUACAUCUGUUACAUUUUUCAUCCAUUGAUCCAUUAAGUGCUGACGUGGCUGUCACAUUUAUGCAACGUGGCUGUCAAACCUGAACCUUGAAAAGAAUAAGAACCCAGAAAACUUGGAACCCCGAUCCCAUUCCCCCCUUCCCCAUAAAUUCAAAAUUCAAAAACUCAAAUGGACCGAUUAAUAUUCCAAAUUUCAAUUCCGUUGUCUUUAAUUUUUUUUAUUUUUCCUUCAAAAUUCCUUGCAAAGCAACGAAAAUUCGUACAAACAAAUAAAAAAAUUGGAUUAAAAACACAAUUGCAAAUUUGUAAUUCCUGGAAAGACUUACCUGGAGGAUUAAUGUGAAAAUCCAACACUUUCUGUAACCAAAAUCUAGCUGCUAACUUGAGUUGCAGGGCGGAGGUGAAAGGCAGCUUCCGCUCUCAAGGAAGAAGGCGCACCAAAUCAAAAACGCCACGUCGUGUCUGCGGGGUUUCUGUUUCUUCGUUUAGAAACCCACUAGAAAAUGCUACCCGCGCGUUGCUGCGGGAUUAAGAAUCGUAUGAAAAAUUAUGUUUGAAAGGUAUAAAAGAUUAUGUUACAAAAGAUUAAAUAUAGAAGAUUGUGUGGGGGUAGAUAAAGGACCCUGUGCCUAAAAGGUGAACCUGUUCAUAAUGGUAGAGAAGGGUUGAGUAGUGCUUUCUCAGCACAAACAAAGCGCUUGUUGAUGUUGGGGAGAACAUGAAAACACUGUUCUCGUCUGAACUGGACAAACAAAAUCAGGAAAUACAAAUUUUAUUUGAGAUAUGAAAAAAAAAGUUACAAAAAGGCAGAAGAAAUAAGGCACAACCAAGUUUACACAACAAAGGCCGAAGAUAAAAAAAUGAAACAAAACUAAAACAUGAUAUAAAAUUUCUUUUUAACAGCCUCUACAUUACAUAGCUAAAAGGUAGCGUUUAAUGAUAAUUAAACACACAGUUCCUCCAUGUUUUUAUAUAAGCUCUUUUCAUAUUUGCAAAUAUAACUUUCAAAACCGAAACUCUCCAAUUUCACACAAAAAAUGUAAAUUUGCAUGGCAAUUACUACAAUUUGAAGCAAAAUUCAAGUUACCCAAUACAAACAAAUGAAACCUGAAAUAAAAAAUCUACACUUUGUAGAGAAAGAUAACAACUUUACCUCCCUUCAUGCACAGUAAUUGAAAUUCCAGCUCAUGGGUUUGUUGGGUGGUGGCGGUGAUUUUGCUGCGAGAGAGAAUUGGGGAAAAUGGACCAAAAUGUCAGUAAAAUGAAGAACAAAAACCACUAAUCAUACAAUCCAAAUUCAGUUUUCGAUUAGCAUUUUUCCAAAAGAAGGCAAUCAAUUGCUAACACAUGUACAAAAUCAGAGUCCGAAAACUAAAAAUCAAGCAAGUCAAGGAGCGGAAGCGGAUGACAGUGGACGACACAGAAGUUUUUAGAGAAGAUUAAAUUAUAUAAUCUGGAAAAACAAAUAAAGCAGCCAAUCAGAAGUUAAAUAAAUAGAAAGAAAAAAGGGAAAAAAAGACAACCUGAAUUCAAAGUGUUCCACAUGCUGUAUUCAAAAUUGAUUAAGCACCGAUUACAUAUCUAAAAUUGACAUCAACUCACCUUAACACUUCAUUUUCUAUAUUCUAUUGGGUUCGACCCAACCCUAAAACUAAUAAAAAGAAAGGGGAAACUUUCUUUUCAUUUUUACCAUACCAAUCUGUGUAUUUUUCUCUGUCAGUAUGCCUUGACUUCUGGGUCCCUGUAUAGACCUACUUUAUUACCCUCUCUCUCUCCAGCUUUCCUUUUAAAUAGGUUAUCAUAUACCCAUGCUCACUUUCACCCAACAGCAAAAGAAACAGAGGAGAAAGGAAGACACCACAUUUAAUUAAUUCAUGAUUUUGUCUAAUUUGCUUUGAUUGAACUGGAAAGCAUCAAAAGAAGGUCAUACAUUAUCAGCAGAUGGUCAUGUAGUGCAGCUCAGUUCUUCAAAUCAUUAAAAACAUCCUACUUUAUUUCAAUUGGUUUGGUUGUCCAACUUAGUUGGAUACCAAACAUACAUGUCUCUUACACUCAGUUCUAAGACCACAACUCAAUCACGAUAACAGGAAAAAUAUCAAACCCAAACAGAAACUCACAUUUCAAUAUAAUCAAAAUGCAAACGAAAUACCAAACUGAACUCCAAUUAUAAAAAACUAAACUAAAUUAUAAAUUGAAAACUUUGAAUUGAAUAACCCCAGAAGUUUAAAUUGCUUACCUUGAGCACAGAAACAAACGCCAUCAAAUCUGAAAAACCUACGAAUCGAAAAUCACAAAAACACCAAAAACUAAAACAUGGGAUCACAUUUUCUAAGCUACCAAACAGAAAAAAUCUAAAAAAUAUGGCCAAAAUAAAAACUCACCUUGAUGCCCUGUGGAUCAGCAACCAUGGUUGGAGAAAAAGAGAGAAGGAAGCUGUUCUAAAGGUGACUGAGUAUCAGGUUCCGAGUGGGAGGUGAAAUCGAAAUUUCAAUCCAUUUGUAAAUCCAAAAUCACAAAACCCCAUAUUUGAACAAAACAAAACCCCCAAGAUGAAAGACUUGAAAAACUUACCAGGAAACCCUAGCUUUUCUGGGCAAGAAAUUCCUUCAAAUCAAUCUAAAAAACUGAAGAAGCUCACCUGAGUUUAAUAAAAAUCGAAAUUUAAGCAACUUUCUCACCUGGAAACGUUGGAUUAGAUGAGCCCAGAAAUUCCAAUCGAAACCAAAUUGGUACAAAUUUCUGAAACCAAAAACCGAACCACAUCAAAUAUUAAAAAUUCUGCUUAUUUCAUAGCCAUCCCCCAUCGGAUUCACAAUACAAAUAAAGAUGGCAAAUAAAAAUUCUGCUUAUUUCACCAAACGAUCAAGAAUUCCAAGAAUCUUUUCUCGAAUGAUUCCCAUCAAUCCAAACGCAAAAAUCUGCUUAGUUCUCUUAAAACCAAAAGAAAAUAUUAGGGUUUCUUAGUUUCUUACCCAAAUCCACCAAAUUGAAUAAAAUCUCUGUAGCCGAGCUUCAAAUCCGUCUCAAAUCGCCUCCACGAACACGAUUUUUGGAAGAUUGGAAACGCAUAAAGAGGCAUGCCCUGUAUUUUUUGCACUUUGAAACGCAAUCCACCUUCUCCUAUUGACCCCUCACAGACUUCUUCGAGUAACCUGCAGAGAGAAACAAUACCCAUUAUACAUUUUUUUAGAUGGAUUUUAGAAAGAGAAGAGCGACAGAAGGAGUUCGAGUGCGACGGAAGCAGAGAUUUGAGAGAGAGACAGAGAGAAGUGAACACAAAUGGAAAAACGUGGAAUGAAGUAGAAGAGUCGAGAAACAGAAGGUGAAGCGAUGAGAGACGCGUGGCCAGAAAGGGUAAAUCCGACACUUCGCUGUACAGAAACGUGAUGGAAACAGCUAGAGAAACAGAGGAAAAACGGAGGGGCAAAAACGUCCACACACUGGUCAUCCACAGUGACCAGGGGGUUUGAGUUUUAGUAUAUAUGAUAUCCCACAUGCCCCCCAAAACCACACACCCCCUCCCCGGGGCGGCGGCGAAGUCCAUAUCUCAGCAACCCCCGUCCAAAUCAUCUUCCAUCCGUUGUGCGCACCCAUCCUCCACCUCCUCCGUACACCCAUCUUUACAUCUUCCGCUCCCCCAACCUGAGCCCAACCUGCAAACCUAGAAAGAAGGGAAAAAAAAAAAACCCAGCGCAUCCACCCUCGGCCUUAAAUCCACACUUAUUGGGGAAGACAGGAUCUGGGUUGUAGGGAAAGGGAGAUGGGUUUUUUUUUUCUUUUCUGGGUUGCAGGUAGUGGUGCGGAGGAGGAGGUGGAGGAUGGGUGCACGGUGGGUUUGGGGAAGACGGAAGGGGGAAGAAAAGGGUGGGUUGCAAGGAAAGAGGGUCAUGGAAGAUGAUGGGUGUUUUUUUUUCCCUCUCCUCUUCUUCUUCUUCUUCUUCUGGUUGCAAGUUGGGGGGGUGCGGGUUCAACUUUUGUUUUUGGUUUUUGGUUUUUUUUUUUUUUUUUUAAUUGAGAAUAUUCAGGUUUUUUUUUUAAAUUAAAAAAAAAAAUUUUGCCAUGUGGCACAAAUAUGACAGUCACGUCAACACUUAACGGAUUAAUGGAUGAAAAAUGUAAUGGAUGUAUUAUUUUGAAAUAAAAUAGUACGUGAGGUAUGAAAGUGAAAUGUUUUAAAGAUGUUGUAUAGGGUUGUAAUAGAACUCAAACCUGAGGGGCUAAUAUGUAAUUUACCCUAAUAUUAUCCUAAACCAAUAAGGAUUUCUCUAUUAAAACCCAAAUAGAAAACUGAAUCCGUUCCCUUAGGUACCGUUUGGUACGUGGGACGGGACGGGACGGAACGGAACGAGCCAUUCCGUCCCACGUUUGAUGCGCCUAAAAACUGUGAAACGGGUUGUCCCAUGGGACGAAAUUUGGCUGAUUUUUCGUUCCACCUCUUCCCCCUGGAACGACCCGUUCCACAUCCGUGAAACACAAAUUUAUAACAUUUUAUGACAAAACUUCUCCUUAUCUUUUUCAAUAUUUACAUCAUCCGUUCCGUCCCGUCCCGUCUCGUCCCGUCCCGUCCCGUUCCGUUCCGUCCCGUUCCGUUCCGUUCCGUCCCGUCUGCGUACCAAACGGUACCUUAUGAAACAAGUUCCAAUUACAAGAACGCCAAUUGCAAUCAAUCAAUCCAACAAUCUGCACAUCAAUAAUCAUGUUGAAUCUUGAUGGUCUCCAUGAUUCUGUGUUGGUUGAAAUCCUCGGUCAUCUCCCCUACGAAUCCGUAGUGCAAUGCAUGUGUGUGUCCAAACGUUGGUACAAUCUCGUUUUUAAUCCUUAUUUUCUUAGCCGCUUUUCUUGUGUCCAACUCCAAACCGACAGUCAGACCCCCGCUACGCGCACCAUGAUCGUCACAAAUCCAAAGAACCCUAGCAAUUUCUUUUCCAUGUCGUCCGAGCAACCUCUUGGCCCAACAAAAUUCCGUAACUUCUCUUUGAGUUUCCUCCCUUGUUUCCAAGGGCCUCCUGUCGUCAGCACUAGUACCGAUGAAUUUGAACCAGGACCCACUGUGCUAGCAUCAUAUAACGACCUACUUUUAUGCUGCGCAACCAUGUUUUCUCAACGUGAUUACUGUUGGAAUCCAGUAACACAACUAUACAAAAUAAGUCUAACAGGAUUUGAGAGAGAUAUUUAGAAAGAUUUAGAAGAUGAAAUCACAGAGAGAGCACACACACAGAGCAUAACCUUUCAGCUUCCUCAGUAUAUUUCAUACAGGGCAUAACAACCCGAAGAGACAUUUUUAACUGAUGACAAAGAAGAGAGAGAGAGACAUAACCUCAAUUCAAUCUCAACCAACCAUUACAACCUAUCUUAAGAUCAAAACACUUGUCAAAUGAUAAGCCCUAUGAGACUUGAUCAACACACCACAAUUUUACACAAUAGCUCAGCCUAUGAGCUGAGACAUGACACACAUAACAAUCUUGUAAUGUGUACUAAUCAGCUCAACAACUUACAUACUAACAUUCCCCUUUAAGUUGUGAACUGAUUUCACUCCAAGUAGAUUUCUCAAGUAAGUGAACUGCUCCCUUGCCAAUGCUUUUGUAAAGAUAUCUGCUAGUUGCUCCUUUGUAGGACAGUGAAUCAAAUCAAUUACUCCUUGCUGUAAUGCUUCCUUUAUGAAGUGAUAUCUUCGGUUUAUAUGCUUAGUCUUCUGAUGAAAGAUGGGAUUCUUGGUGAUGGCAAUGGCAGAUGUAUUGUCACAAUUCAUUGGUGUUGCAACAGUUUGCAUUUCACCAAAAUCCUCUAGAACAAAUCUCAACCAAGUAGCCUGUGCUGUUGCUUCAGAAGCACUGAUAUACUCUACUUCGGCUGUGGAUAAUGCAACACAUUGUUGCUUGACUGAAGACCAAGAGAAAAUCCCAUUUCCAAAAGUAAAAGCAUACCCGGAUGUGCUUUUCAUGUCAUCCUCUGAGCCACUCUAGUCACUAUCACAGUAUCCCAUUAAGAGUGUUCCUUCACCUUUCUUGUAUUCCAAACCAAAAUCAAGAGUUCCUUGAACAUAUCUCAAUACUCUUUUUGCUGUUCCAAAGUGCUUGUUAGUGGGACAAUGCAUAAACCGAGCUAGGAGACAAGCAGCAUACAUUAUAUCAGGUCUAGUUGCUGUGAGAUACAGCAGACUACCUACAAUCUGUCUAUACUGAGCUUCAUCUGCAUUUCCACUUCCAUCUUCUCUUCUCAGUUUAUCACUUGGAACCAAAGGAGUACUCACUGAUUUGCAAUUCUGUAGUCCGAACUUCUUCAGAAGAGAUAAAGCAUAAUUCCUCUGAUGAAUGAAGAUACAUUCCUCAGUUUGGAUUACCCCCAUACCAAGGAAAUGGUGUAAAAGACCAAGAUCUGUCAUCUCAUACUUAUACAUCAUUUCAGCUUUGAAAACAUCCAUUAACUCUUGACAAUUUCCAGUAUAUAUAAUAUCAUCAACAUAGAUGGAUACUAUGAUCAAUUCUGUGUCUCCCUUGUACUUGGUGUACAGAGUUGCCUCACUGAUGCUUUUCUUAAAUCCACAAAGCAUAAGGUAUAAAUCUAUUUCACCAUACCAGGCCCUAGGUGCCUGUUUUAGACCAUACAAAGCUUUAUGUAAUCUGUAAACCUUUUCUUCCUCUCCUUGCACUACAAACCCAUCUGGCUGUUCAACAUAUACUUCCUCUUCUAAUACUCCAUUCAGAAAAGCUGAUUUCACAUCUAGUUGAAAUAACUUCCAUUUAUUCUUUGCUGCCAGUGUAAUUAGAGUUCUAACUGUGUCUAAUCUUGCAACAGGUGCAAAAGUCUCAUUAAAAUCAAUUCCGGGCUUUUGUGCAUAGCCUUUUGCAACAAGUCUAGCCUUGUUCUUUUGAACUAUUCCAUCCAAAUUCAGCUUUGUUUUAUACACCCAUUUCACCCCAAUCACAGGCUUAUCUGAGGGUCUUCUCACCAACUCCCAUGUCUGAUUUUUUUCGAUCAUAUUCAUUUCAUCCUUCAUUGCCUUUUUCCAAGCUUCAUCCUGUGCAGCUUCAUUAAAGGAUUCAGGUUCAACAAUACAUAAGUGACAUCUCUCAUAGAUCUCACUCAAGUUCCUAUACCUCAGUGGAGUAUCAUCAUACUGAGCAGAGACCUGUGAGCUACUUGAUUCACCAAUAGCAGUAGCUGGAGAACUUCCAGCUUGAAUUUGAGACCCAUCAGAUCCUUCUUGUUCAUGAGAUUCAGACAUCUCAUCAAUUUUAUCCAACUCUGAAGACUCAACUGCAGAUAAAGGAAUACAGACUUCCUUGACUUUGUGUUUCUCCCAGUCCCAUCUACCAUGUUCAUCAAAAAUUACAUCUCUAGAUAACAAGACCUUUUGAGUUAAAGGAUUCAGUACCCUAUACCCCUUUUCACAGGUACCAUAUCCAAUGAAAACACCCAUGACACUUGUUUCUUCUAAUUUGUGUCUUAGAUUCCCUGGAAUAAGAGAAUAGCAAACUGAACCAAACACCUUCAAGUGUUUAACCCCAGGUUUUCUUCCACUGAAUUUCUCAAAAGGUGUAGUAUUCUUCACUGCUUUUGUAGGACUCCUGUUAAGCAGAUACACAGAUGUGUUUACUGCUUCACACCAGAGAUUGUUGGGAAGUUCUUUCUCAAAGAUCAUGCACUUUGCCAUCUCUACAAUUGUCCUGUUUUUCCUUUCUGCUACUCCAUUUUGCUGUGGAGAGUAUGCAAUUGUGAGCUGUCUUUCUAUCCCCAAAUCUUCACAAAAUUUUCCAAACUCAUUUGAAUUGAACUCUCCUCCUCUAUCUGUUCUUAGCUUCUUUACAUAAUAUCCACUUUGAAGCUCAACCAUGGCUUUAAAUUUCUUAAACACAUAGAAAGCCUCUAAUUUGUUUUUCAAGAAAUAUACCCAGCACAUUCUUGAAAAAUCAUCUAUGAAGGUAAUAAAGUAUCGGUUGCCACUCAAACUUGAUGUUUGCAUAGGACCACACACAUCCGAGUGUAUUAGUUCAAGUGGUUCCUUUGCUCUCCACAUUGAUUCUUUGGGAAAUGGUUCCCUGUGAUUUUUCCCCAGUGCACAACUUUGACAUACAGUUUCACUGUCUUGGAUUUCAGGCAGCCCCAAAACCAUCUCUUGACUCUGUAACAGUUUGAGACUUCUGAAAUUUAGAUGACCGAACCUCUUGUGCCACAUUCUAACACACUCCUGCACAUUUGUCCUCAAUGCAAGCUCCUUGUUUGUGUUGAGGAUUAAGGGAAAACAUCUAUUUCCUCUCUGUUUCACACUGACCACCAGGUUUUGUAAGGAUCUAUCAUCGAACACAUCCACUUUAUAAUCUCCAAAUAAAAGAAAGUAACCGUGCUCAGUCAUUUGUCCCACACUUAACAAAUUUUCUGUAAGACCAGGUACAAGCAUAACUUCUUUUAUAUAUCUUCGACCUUUUACAGUUUCAAUGAUCAGUGUUCCCUUCCCUUCAACUUCAACCAAAACUACAGUGCCAACUUGGACUUUUGCUUUCACUUUCCUGUCAAUAUCAACAAGUAGAUCUUCUCUGGAUGUCAUAUGGUUACUACAUCCACUAUCUAUAUACCAUUCAUCACUUAUCUUCCUCACUUCUCCAGAAUGAUUUGCAUAAAACAAAUUUCCAGUUUCUUCAACCUGAUUAGCAAAGUUCACAUGCUGCACAGUCUUGUUCAUAUUACAAUACCUUGCAAUAUGCCCAAUUUUGUUACACUUGUGACACUUGACUUUGUUUUUAACCCAACACUCUCCAUAGUGAAGUUUAUCACAGAAUUUACACUUAUCUCCAGUAUUGUUUGCCUCAUUCUUCACAGUGAAUCCACCCUUAUUGCUCCAAUCACCCUUGUUACUCCAUUGUUUCUCUUUUGGCUUAAAAUUCUUGUGAUAUUUGUUACUGUUUGGCUGACCAUUGAAUUUAUUAGACCUCGGGACAAAUUUCAAACUGGCAAAUGCUUUCUCCAUACUACUCUCUCCAUGUCUAUCCAACCUUUGUUCAUAACCUUUUAAGAUAGCUACAACAUCCUGUGCAUCUAUGGUGUCUAAAUCCUUAGUAUUCUCUAUCACUGCUGCAAUACUAUCAUAGGACUUACGUAAACUGAUUAACAAUUUCUGAACAACUCUCUGAUUACUCAGAUCUUCACCAUAGCUCUUCAUUUGAUUAAUCAGAUCAAACAACUUAGCAAUAUACACAGAGAAAGAGAUUCACUAUCAUUCAUGCGAGUAUAUUCAAAAUCUCGCGCCUAAAGACCUUGAAGUUUCACAGAUCUUACUUGUUUAUCACCAACGAACUCUUGUUUCAGAAUGUCCCACGCAGCCUUCGCACUUUCCUGAGUUGCAAUCCUCGGGAAAAUUUGGUCUGAAACUGCUCCUUGAAUAAUACCCAGUGCCCUAGCAUCCUUAACUACAUUCUCACGCAGCAGCUUCCUCUCCGCCUCUGUGAGUUCCUCCUCCUUCGCCGGAGCUCUGUACCCACUCUCGACCAUAUUCCACAGUUCAUACGAGCGAAAGAUGGUCUUCAUUUUGAUUUGCCAGAAAUCAAAAUUCUCACCAUUGAAAAUUGGUGCCCGGAGUUCUCCUCCUCCAGAUCCAGCCAUAUUAGAUACUCGAAUCACCGCAAUAAGCUUUUGCUGUGAAUCCGAGCUCACCCACUCGUAGAAACAACGCCCAUAAGUUUAGAUCGAACUCGGCUCUGAGGCCAUGUUGGAAUCCAGUAACACAACUAUACAAAAUAAGUCUAACAGGAUUUGAGAGAGAUAUUUAGAAAGAUUUAGAAGAUGAAAUCACAGAGAGAGCACACACACAGAGCAUAACCUUUCAGCUUCCUCAGUAUAUUUCAUACAGGGCAUAACAACCCGAAGAGACAUUUUUAACUGAUGACAAAGAAGAGAGAGAGAGACAUAACCUUAAUUCAAUCUCAACCAACCAUUACAACCUAUCUUAAGAUCAAAACACUUGUCAAAUGAUAAGCCCUAUGAGACUUGAUCAACACACCACAAUUUUACACAAUAGCUCAGCCUAUGAGCUGAGACAUGACACACAUAACAAUCUUGUAAUGUGUACUAAUCAGCUCAACAACUUACAUACUAACAAUUACUACAUCUGCAAUCCGUACACCAAGCAAUGGGAUGCCCUUCCUCCCCCUCCUCAAUGCUACGACCUCGUAAAAGUUGGACUCAUCUGCAAUCCCGGCAAUCAGCUGGGAGUGCUUAACAAUGAAUACAGCUACAGGGUUGUGCGAAUAAUUAUUCCUCCAUCUCCAGUGUAUCCUUCCAAGCAAUUUAAAGUACAUAUUUUUGCUUCCGAGAAUCGUACGUGGACAGAAACUGUUGUAUCAUCCCCAAGAGAAUUUAAUGUUGCUAGUUUGCUUUCAAUGGGUGCAGCGUUUGGUUACGAUGGAAUGUUGUACUUCGGGGGCAGUUGUGGCUUGAUUGGUCUGGAACUCUACUCCAGCAAUAUCAAUGCUACUAGUACUAUUCAUUGCCGUUUCAUUGAUUUACCUGAAGAUAAGGCCAAUGUCAUGGAUUUGCCUGAAGAUGAUCAGGUCAAAUUCGUUGACUUACCUGAAGAUGUAUAUCACUUUCGGACUUUGUACACCUGGGUGCCAGUAAAGCUGGAACUGGAAGAGGAUUUAGUAUGCGGAUGUGCGAAUCCUUUGGACAUUUUAAGAAUGGACACUGUUACCAUGAUGGUGUGGGUGUUUGGGAUUACUUUGAAGACAAGGGAAGCAAACGUUGGUGUUUAGUAGACAUAGUUCCCCUCAACUGGGUACGUCGUCAAUGCCCAUCGAUCACGGAUUUUAGUUGUAAGUAUAAGGUCCACGUUGACAACUAUACAAGGGUACUCGGUUUUGACCUAUAUAAUGAAGAUAUCUUGUAUCUAGAAUUUUGUCAGCACCUCCUCAUGUACAACGUUGGCGCGAAAACCCUAACGCAGGCUUGGAGAACUGAUCUGUUUAGUUAUGGUGAUGUUAUGCCCGGAGGAACUGUCUUCCCGUAUGUAAUCCCACGCUGGCCAACACUAGUUCUUGGACACAAACAGCGGGAUGAGGGCUCUAGUUCAUGUCAUGUAGCGGAAAAGGUUAGUGUUUCUGCCGCUGCUAUAGCCACAAGCAAAGCAGACCAAGCUCAAGCUCAACAAGGUCGGGACUUGAAGAGAUUGUUGCAAAUGGAAAAGGUGGUACAAAGGAACAUAUGAGCAAACGCCGUCGCCCUGCAGCUAAUUCAAAAGCAAGUAAAAAGAGGAAAGCGAAUGAGGCAAGUGGAUGAAAGGCAAAGUGCGGCAACCGAUCUGAAAUUAAAUCUACCAACUGAUUCAUAAUAUCCCCAGUUUUCCCUUCAAUUUUCCAUAGGUAUUUUCAUGUCUAUUUAUCUUAUCAAUUUCAUUUUUAUAUGAAAAUAAUUUAUCACUCAUCGGAUUUGUUAGUUUUCACGUUAGUUAUCACACUAUUUGCAUGUAUUUAAUGUAUUUAAGGAGAGUUUUUGCAUACAAGUAACUAUAGGCUAAAAUAAAUAUGUGCAUAGUCUCAUCUAUUUAGAUUUUACUGGAUUACAUCUUUACUUGUCAAAUCUAUUUCUAUUCCAAUGUUUCUUUUUUUAUCUGCGUUAUUUUCAUAUCAAUCAAAAUGGCAUUUGGAUAAUACUAACCAAUGUUAUUAUAUAUCACAAUCAUGCAUGCACAUGAGUAACCAAUGUUAAAUGAACAUAAAAACCCAUUCAUGCAAAACAAGCAACAAUUAUGAAGUAACACCUAUGUAAUGCCAAUUCGGAAUUGAUGACAAAAUUAUAGCAACCAAACCUAAACUUGUUUUAAGAUUGUUGGAAAAAUUGGGUCUAAUUGCUAUAAUAAAUCACAUAGAAAAUCAAGAAAUAACUCAUGCAAUUAUAUAUCACAAUAAUGCAUGCACAUGAGUAACCAAUAUUAAAUGAACAUGAUAUAAUGGAUUAGAAAAACCUAGAAAAUACAGUCGAGGCAAGUGUUGGACACUUUGUCCUUAAGACAAGUUUACGCCCCACUACGGUGCUCAUGGUUGAUCGGCGCAUGUCUCCCAAGAUACAACGACCACGUCCUUAUAAUAGUAGCACUCCAAAUCACAAGGCUCCAUGAACCACGAUUGUGUUGAAAACUCUCUCAUAUGGACUGAAUGAGACUCUCUAAUAUUUAGUGCACUCUAUGUAUGAUUAUGUAAACAAUGCAAAGUUUUUUUUUUUCUUUUUUUUCUUUUUUUUGUGAUUAUAGGGGGCUUCCCUAUUUAUAGAAUGUGAGAUGUUUCUUUGGAAAACAUGUGACUAUUGUGGAUGCAAAUUUUCUCCUCCUCGAUCUUGGACGAUUUUGCACCUACAAAACAACUAGCACCUUAGGUUAAGGCCAAAAGCCUCACGCGCCCACGAUGAAUGGGGGGGGCUUUGGCCGAAGAACCUCCGAUGCCAAAGUUAGAAUUUUAGAGAGAAAUAGUGUUUAGAGUAUUUGUGAUUUUUUGUAAGAGAAUUGGAAUGAAUUUUUGGUGAGAAUAGGUGCCUAUUUAUAGAGUUAGGGCUUGACCAAUUUUGAAUAAAAGUAACCAGCCACUAAAGGUUUUUUGUGGGGUUCAAUUUCAUGUUUAAUUAGACAAUUUAUUGGCUUAUUAAAUAUGAAAAGAAUAAAUGGGUGGUUAUAAAAAUGAAUGACUAUUUUAAUAAGGAAAAUGGGAAAGGUGAGGAUGGGAAUGGUGGUGGCCGGUUUUGACUAUCAAUUUGGGUGAUUUUAUUGACUAUUAAGGAUGAUUUUAGGAGAUAUGGUAGGUAUAUAUUAUUUAGCUAAUUGAUUAGCUAAAUAAUGAAAUAGAAAAUACUAGGUUUUGGGAAAUACCUUAUAGAAAGGAUUUGAUGAAAGAGGUUUUUAAUUGUUACCUUUUUUGGGCACUUUUGACUUGAUUGAAAGAUGAUUGCCCGCUGCUCGCGCAUAGAAAUCCUGGUAUGCCUCAAGGGUAUUUUUGUCCUAUUUUGUCCAAAAGUCCACGUGUCGCCUAGUAAAUAUUUUUGACUCCACAACUAUUCAUGAAGAGUAAAAAAUUGCAACUCUUCAUUUGAGUAGACACAUCUUUCUACCAAAAGGCUCCACUUCUAAUUUCCAUUCAAUUAAUAAAUUUAAUAUAAUAAUAUUAUUAUUAAAUUUUCCAACAAUCCCCCACAUGAAUGGAAAUUGACUCAAUACCAUGCAAAUGACAAUGCAGACACUAGAGAGAUAAUUUAGUAGGAAAAGUAUCACAUCAGGAUAGGUGGCUUUUGGCUUUGAACCUUCCGUAGUGAAUUACUAUCGGAUUUACUUGGCUAAUCAGUGAACGCGAUAUCUUGAACUGCUCAGCCAUUUGUGUAAACCAAGACAAUAGUAAUCACACGGUACCCUUCCAAACACCCCAUGGUUGCUCGAUUGUGUUCAUUUUGGCCCUGAACAAUUAUUGGUUUCUCAUGAGUGCUUUUAAAGAACUGAGCCCUACAAAAAAUUCUCACAUGAACGGCCCCAUUCCUCACUCAAGAUAGAUGACUUCCCAUUAAGAGUAUCCUGCAAUACCCCACUUGUUAUUUCCAAAUAUAGGAAUCAUUAAAAGCAAAGUUUAUCCUAAAUACGCUGCAGACAACACUGUUUCAUCAUAGGACAUGGGUAAAACGUAAUCUCCGCAAUGCUCCCAUUGAAUCAUCCACAAUUCGGUUGUCCCCUUGAACCUAGAUCUUGGGAUCUCCAGUCAGCUAGGUUGGGUUGCCAUUAUGGCGAUUCUUAAGACGUGGGCUUUUAACCCAUUCCCCUCGAUGAUACAACUUAUUCUCUAGUCAAACCCUUAAUUAAUUGGAUCCACUAGAGGUUGAUGACUAUCAGUUAAAGUGCGCACUUCCAUUUAUGAAAUUAUAUUUCAUUCAAGAGUAGUUGUUUUCCAACAUUAAGUCCUUCAAAACAUAUGUUAGGACUUAAAAAGUAAUUUGCUAAUACUCAGGGUACAUUCCCCCACAUUUAAGGUAUUUGCUAGAAGAUCUCCAACCUUUCAAUACCUUAAAAUUACCAUUAUAAGAAAUGACAUUUUGAUUGUCUCAUUCAAUUAGCACAUUAUAUUUCCAUUCUUCUUAAAUAAAUCUCAUAUCUCAAAAUUAGAUAAGUUACCUCCACAAUUCUUUGAUAAUUGUGGUUAAUUUAACGUCAUUGUUAAAUCGAUCACGUUUUUUUUUUUUUUAUGAAGUAGGAAACAACUAAGACAGACCUUAUAUAUCUAUCUUCUUAGGCCUUCAUGCCUCACUGGCCAUUAUGGAAAAAGCACUUCUUGGCUUUCAUCCCUUCCGCACUCUGACUAACAUACACGACCCAAUGGCCAUGUCCAUUAAUAUGCUUACUUAAUAAGUAUCAUUAUGCAUGUCUAAUACAAUUAUGCGAAAUGCUCCGCACAUUUUUAGUGUCGUCUUUUCCUUUGUGAAAGACCCCCACAAUUUCAAGAUUAUUUCUCUACUGAUAUCAUUUUGAAUAACACUCAAUAAUAUUCAUUUUCUCCAUGGCAAAUGCAUCACUCUCCUCGGCAAAGAAGCAAAACACAUGAACUAAAUGCUUCUCAAGAAAUCUUCCAGAAAGUUAAGUGAUAUAUGACUACAGUCAUAUAAGUCAUAUAAUUGUUCGUAAUAGUAUGAUGAUAUCAUUCUAGGCCUCUUGAAAUUGAUGAAUUAAUCUCUUCGAAGAAAUCAGAUAAAUGAUUUUGCAACAUUAUUAUCACUAUAUGAUAAUACAUCCAGUCGGUAUGUAGAAGUUUACAUACCAACCCAUGAACACGUAUUCAAAUUUAAGAAUGGCAAUGACUAGUUGGAAAGGUCGUACCCUUUCACUGUCAAAAGUAGCACUUCAAAUGGCAUGCUUUUUGCUUGGAAUCUCAUAUGGCAGAUUCCACCUUUUGGUUCCACCACCUUACAGAAACUAUUCAUUUGUCAAUUAAUUGCAUCUUUUUGCAUCUUAACCGCUACAUGGUUCUAAAUGUCCCAAAAUUCUUGACUCAAAUGAAUAUAGAACCGUCAAGCCGCGGUCUUACCGAUUUCUCUUUUAUCUAGAAUCUCCAACUGGUCAAUUGUGAUGGAGUUUUACAUAUACCAUAUAUAUUUUACAGAACACCCAAUGAUUCGUUUCAGGACUUCACACAUAUGAAUACAACAAAUCAAGGUAUGCAUCUAACUGUCAUACUAAUUUCACACCAUUCUCAUCCCGUGUCAGUUGUCUUAGUGUUGCACACAUGAGGCUUUGAAACAUGUAAUUCUUUCCCAGAAGAUUAGUGCAUGCACAAAAUAAAAGGGAACUAUUAUAUUAAAGCAACAACUCCCCAUGCGUAUACAAGAUGAAUAUAUACACAGACCAAAUACAGUUCAACACCAUAGUUUUUCAAUAUAUCAUCAUGCCUUAUGACAUUUUCAUUUCUGAAAUGAUAAAACCUUAACAGUUAUUGAGUUCCAAACCGUUUGACAUGCAAAACAACAUGAUCCAUUGUCCAAAUGAAUGUAUUAUGGCGAAAUUACCAUUCAAAACUAUGUUAAAACACCAAUCCAAACUAUUAUAAGAGAUACGUAUAUUCAACAGUACGCAAAACCCAUCAAAUGUAAGCAACCGUGUAACUUUUCAAUCAAAGCAAAUGGCAAUUCAUUCAUCUACUAAAUGAAUAUAUCUAAAACUGAUUGUCAAAAAGAAACGAACCUAAGUUUCUUAAUAUAAGUACUUUGUGAAUCACGUAUAGCAAAUAAACCUAUAAACUUGUCUUAAGAUUGUUGGAAAAAUUGGGUCUAAUUGCUAUAAUAAAUCACACAAAAAAUCAAGAAAUAAUUCAUGAAAUUAUAUAUCACAAUCAUGCAUGCACAUGAGUAACCAAUGUUAAAUGAACAUGAAAAACCCAAGCAUGCAAUCAUGCAAAACAAGCAGCAAUUAUGAAGUAACACCUAUGUAAUGCCAAUUCGGAAUUGAUGACAAAAUUAUAGCAACCAAACCUAAACUUGUCUUAAGAUUGUUGGAAAAAUUGGGUCUAAUUGCUAUAAUAAAUCACAUAGAAAAUCAAGAAAUAAUUCAUGCAAUUAUAUAUCACAAUAAUGCAUGCAUAUGAGUAACCAAUGUUAAAUGACAUGAACAUGGAUAUAAUAGAUAGAAAAACCUAGAAAAUACAGUCGAGGCAAGUGUUGGACACUUUGUCCUUAAGACAAGUUUACGCCCCACUACGGUGUUCAUGGUUGAUCGGCGCAUGUCUACCAAGAUACAACGAUCACGUCCUUGUAAUAGUAGCACUCCAAAUCUCAAGGCUCCAUGAACCACGAUUGUGUUGAAAACUCUCUCAUAUAGACUGAAUGAGACUCUCUAAUAUUUAGUGCACUCUAUGUAUGAUUAUGUAAACAAUGCAAAGUUUUUUAUUUUUUUUGUGAUUAUAGGGGGGGCUUCCCUAUUUAUAGAAUGUGAGAUGUCUCUUUGGAAAACAUGUGACUAUUCAUGAAGAGUCAAAAGUUGCAACUCUUAAUUUGAGUAGACACAUCUUUCUACCAAAAGGCUCCACUUCUAAUUUCCAUUCAAUUAAUAAAUUUAAUAUAAUAAUAUUAUUAUUAAAUUUUCCAACAGUUCAUUAGUAAUAUCGACAUCAUACAUAUAUUGUGAAUAGGUGCUUAUUGCAGUAGUGGAUUCUUAUGUUCAUAACUCGGAGCAAUGCUUUAGAAUUUUGGCAUGGGAAAUAAGGGACAACUUUGGGGGUUUCGGGCACUCAAAUAAAAAGGCCAUACCAUACGUACCCAGCUUCUAUUCCAUAGUUGCAUUUCUCUCCCGGUGUCCUAAAUUGAUGCCUCUAAUUCCCUAUCUAGUAAGGCCCUUGCCUCCCGCUACAGAAAAUAGAUCUCUACUCGACUGCCAACAACCGACUGUUAGAAAGAACUCCAGAUGAAGGUGGAGUUAGGAGAUUCAAACAUGUUGUAGUAGUUGGAUGUGUCAUGGUUGGUAAUUUAUAUAACAAGACACUCGAGUCUAAAACACUGUACGGGAUGAGUGAGGCCUUUGUGGAUUUUGGAGUAUGAAUUCACGAGAAUAGAGGUAUGAAUAAGGGAACAUUCAUGCAUCAUCAAGGGACCAUUGCUUCUAAUUUCUCGUUGCUUUUCAACUUUAGCCGGUGUUAUCUCCAUGAACUACAUACUAAGGGCUGAUUUGGUAUUGCUGUGCUUUGAAAAAAAGCUGCUGUGAGAAUAAGCGGCUGUGAAAUAAAUCAGCAGAGUGUUUGGUAAACUUUUUUGUAAAAGUGCUUUCGAAAAAAAAAAGCAGUCUGAUAGUGGGUCUUUUCAUUAAAGGAGCACUGUAGCUCCGUGUGCUUUGAAAAAAAAGCCAGUUUUCCAAAGCUGCAAAUAGCUGCUUCAGCUUUUUCCUUUGAUUUCAGCUUAUUCUCACAGCAGCUUCCAAAAUAAGCCAUUUUUUUUAGUUUACCAAACACCUAAAACCCUCACAGCUUUUUUUCAUGGGUGCUUUUUUUUAAGCACCUCACUCCCA